UAAAUUUAAUGUUGGCUAGCCGGUUCCAAGCCCGGGAAAAGGAGGAGGAAACACGUUCCUAGUGGAUCUUAAGUUUUUAUUUCAUAUUAUCAUAAGUUUCUCUUUCUUAUGUUUCUCCAUGAUAUUCUUCCAACCUUUUUUCAGUCUACUACUUAUGGAUUUUUUUGGAGGCCUUUUUACUAUUUAGCCUUUUUCAUUUUGGUUUUACUGCACUAACCUGUGGGUGCCUUUUCUGCGGGCUAGCAUUCGUGCAUGUUUUCUCAUUAUAUUUCAUUGAUCGUGAGCUAACAAUGAUCGUGAGAUGUAGUCUUCUGAGAUAGCCACGUGUGGAGCAGCUGCUGUAGUAGACCAAGGGGACAAUUAAAAGAGGAACUUGAAAGGGUAAGGUGUGUGGGGCUUGAAGAACAAGGGCCGACAGUAGAUGAGAUCCAGAAGUUUUCCAAUCUUUAUCUACCUUCUUCAUUUUUUUGCAGCCGGCGGUGGAUGCGAUGUGUAUUUGCGUGAUGAGAAAGAAGAGUGGUGAUAUGGUGGUAGUUGGCGGAACAUGCCAGAUAGUAGGCAUUUUGCUGUUCGUGGUUGCAGCAUGACUUUCAAGAUGUGUGAGCAGAGCAGACCAUUGAUGACGCGUAAAGCACACGCUCGUUGGGAACCCCAAGUGGAAGGUGUGAUGCGUACAGUAGCAAGUUUCUCUCAGUAAGAAACCAAGGUUUAUCGAACCAGUAGGAGUCACACGUUGAAGGUUGAUGGCGGUGAUACGUCUCCGACGUAUCGAUAAUUUCUUAUGUUCCAUGCCACAUUAUUGAUGUUAUCUACAUGAUUUAUGCACACUUUAUGUCAUAUUCGUGCAUUUUCUGGAACUAACCUAUUAACAAGAUGCCGAAGUGCCAGUUGCUGUUUUCUGCUGUUUUUGGUUUCAGAAAUCCUAGUAAUGAAAUAUUCUCGGAAUUGGACGAAAUCAAAGCCCAGGGGCCUAUUUUUCCACGAAGCUUCCAGAAGUCCGAAGACGAGACGAAGAGGGGCCACGGGGUGGCCAAACCCUAGGGCGGCGCGGCCCCACCCCUGGCCGCGCCGGCCUAUGGUGUGGGCCCCCCGUGCCGUCUCUUGACUUGCCCUUCCGCCUACUUAAAGCCUCCGUGACGAAACCCCCAGUACCGAGAGCCACGAUACGGAAAACCUUCCAGAGACGCCGCCAACGCCGAUCCCAUCUCGGGGGAUCCAGGAGAUUGCCUCCGGCACCCUGCCGGAGAGGGGAAUCAUCUCCCGGAGGACUCUACGCCGCCAUGGUCGCCUCCGGUGUGAUGUGUGAGUAGUCUACCCCUGGACUAUGGGUCCAUAGCAGUAGCUAGAUGGUUGUCUUCUCCCCAUUGUGCUAUCAUUGUCGGAUCUUGUGAGCUGCCUAACAUGAUCAAGAUCAUCUAUCUGUAAUUCUAUAUGUUGCGUUUGUUGGGAUCCGAUGAAUAGAGAAUACUUGUUAUGUUGAUUAUCAAAGUUAUAUCUACGUGUUGUUUAUGAUCUUGCAUGCUUUCCGUUACUAGUAGAUGCUCUG